rnacentral:misc_RNA from 1 species
GAUCAUGAUCAUGAUCAUGAUCAUGGCCAGUAUGGUCCUCCUUAGAACCUUCAGCACCAACCGAACUCUCAAUUCUUUCCAAAUCAAAGCCUCCAAUCCCUAGGACAUAGUCCAAAUCGACUUUUCCAAACUGUGUCCUCUUCAAAUGAGCCAUCUUAUUUAUGUUCUUAAUUCGCUGAAUCAAAGAAGAAACUUCAGAAUCACCAACAAGAUCAGUCUUGUUAAUUAUAAUACGGUCAGCAUAAGCUAUUUGCUCAACUGCUUCAUUGACGACACCUUUUGGCUUAGUCUCAUCCAAGUGAAAACCAACAUGUUUAGAAUCAACCAGUGUAACAACACCAUCCAACUUAACAUCAUUGAAAACCUGAUCCUCCGCGUAGAAAGUUUGAAUAAUUGGUGCAGGAUUUGCCAAUCCUGUAGUCUCUAUGACAAUAUGGUCAAAUUUCCCUUUCUUUCUACUGACCAACUCUGCGAUCAUUCUAACUAGAUCACCCCUCACAGUGCAACAGAGACACCCAUUGUUAAGCAUCAUAAUCUCCUCCGCCCCAGCAGUUUUUGCAGCAACCAAAGAACCAUCAAUAUCCACUUCACCAUACUCAUUCUCUAUAACAGCAAUGCGCUUGCCAUGAUCCGCAGUCAAUAUGUGAUUUAAUAAGGUAGUUUUCCCAGAACCCAAGAAACCAGUGAUAAUGGUAGCUGGAAUUCGAUUAUCUUGAGGAAUCUUGGUUAAGAUAUCAGAGUCCUCGCUUUGCGGGGCGGAAGUAGAUGUAGCAGAAACAGUAAAUCCGCGAGAGAAUCUGUUUGGUUUUGAAGAAGUAUUGAUUGCAACACUAAUUCUCGAAGAGGAACUAGUGGAUAAACUGAACCUCUGACAUUUGCUUGUUUUCCACAAAGUUGGGAACACUGCUGUACGAAGACCAUAGAACUGUGGGGUCUGACGCUUGGCCAGUCCCAUAAAGGUGGUGGCUAUGUCUAUAGACAAAGAAGCCAUGGCUGUGAGUUAGUGUUCUUGGUCUUUGGGGGUUGAGAAAGAU